rnacentral:rRNA from 1 species
UACGUAGGGCGCAAGCGUUGUCCGGAAUUAUUGGGCGUAAAGAGCUCGUAGGCGGUCUGUCACGUCUGCCGUGAAAACCCGAGGCUUAACCUCGUGGCUUGCGGUGCAUACGGGCAGACUAGAGGUAGGUAGGGGAGAAUGGAAUUCCCGGUGUAGCGGUGAAAUGCGCAGAUAUCGGGAGGAACACCCGUGGCGAAGGCGGUUCUCUGGGACGGUACUGACGCUGAGACGCGAAAGCGUGGGGAGCGAACAGG